AAAAGUUGAAAUACAAAGAAGUUAAAUUUGAGAAAAAUAAAAGAAAAGAAUCGGAACAACUGAGGAAAAUUGAUUCGUGGUUCGGAAAAGGUCCGGCACUGAAGCAGAGUUCAAGAAUAGUGAGUGCGUCUAGACUCGUAUGGAACAUUGACCUUAAUUGAAUCGGAUGACUGCAGUUUGUCACGGGCAAUUCUACCAACAAAGAAUUGCCAGCGCCUAUGGAUUUG
rnacentral:lncRNA from 1 species